rnacentral:rRNA from 1 species
GGGGUUAAAUUAAUUAAUUAGUAAUAAAAAAAAAAUUUUUAAAUAAAAAUAUAUUUUAAUGGGGGUUAAAGUAUAUAUAAUAAGAAAAAAUUUAUAAUUUUAUAGGGGAGUAGUAUUGUAAAAGAAUGUUGAAAUAUUUGAAAUAUUAAUUAUUAGGAAAGUAGAUUUUAUUUAUUGUAUCUUGGGUAUCAGAGUUUAUUAAUAAUAUUUUUUAAAUAAAAAUUUUUCGAAUUUAAAAGAGUUAAUUAAUUAAAAAUUUUUAUUGUUUCAUAAAUAUUUAAAAUAAUUAAUUAGAAAUGAAAUGUUAAUCGUUUUUGAAGAUAUCUAAUUUUUUUAGAAAUAAAUUUAAUUUAGAAUUUUUUUUUAUUAUUUGAAAAAUUUAAUUUUAAAUAAUAAAAAAAAAUUUAAUAUUUUAGGGGAUAAUCUUUAAAUUAAAUUUUUAUAAUAUAAUUUAAUAGAUAUUAAAAUUUUUAAGAUUUAUAUUGUUUAAAAAUUAUAUUUUUUUAUAAAAAUUUUUAUUUUUAAAUAAAAUUUUUAAUUUAUUUUAUUUAAUUUUAUAUAAAAAAAUAAUUUUUAAUUUAAAUAAAUAAGAUAUAAUGAUAAAAUUAGUAUAAAUUAAAAAAUUUAAUAAUUUUUUUUUUAAUAAAUAAAUAAAAGGAAUUCGGCAAAAUUAAUAAGUAAAUUCACCUGUUUAUCAAAAACAUGUCUUUUUGGGUAUAAUUUAAGGUUGAAUCUGCCCACUGAUUUUAUUAAAGGGCUGCAGUAUAUUGACUGUACAAAGGUAGCAUAAUCAUUAGUCUUUUGAAAGGAGACUUGUAUGAAAAGAUUUGAUGAAAUUUAAACUGUCUCUUAUUUAUAUUUAAAACUUAAUUUUUUAGUAAAAAAGCUAAAAUAGGUUUAAAAGACGAGAAGACCCUAUAGAGUUUUAUAAUUUAUUUAAUUGAUGAUUUUUAUAAAAGUUUAAAUAGAGAUUAAAUUAAUUAUUUUGUUGGGGUGAUAAAAAAAUUAAAUAAACUUUUUUUAGAUAAAAACAUAAAUUAGUGAAUAAAUGAUCCAUAAUUUAUGAUUAUAAGAUAAAAUUACCUUAGGGAUAACAGCGUAAUUUUUUUUUUUAGGUCUAAUAAGAAAAAAAGUUUGCGACCUCGAUGUUGGAUUAAGAUAAAAUUUAAAUGUAGAAGUUUAAAAUUUUUGAUCUGUUCGAUCAUUAAAAUCUUACAUGAUCUGAGUUCAAACCGGCGUAAGCCAGGUUGGUUUCUAUCUUUAGGAAAAUGUAAUAUUUUAGUACGAAAGGAUUAAAUAUUAAAAAUAAUUUUAGUUAGAAGAAUUAUAUUAAUAUAAAAUUUAUAAAUUUUUAUAUUAGAUAAAUAUUC